AAGAACUUAAGUUACUUAUGAAAAACUUUUAACCUUCAAAGUUAAAUACAGGCUAAAGAUUAUGCCUAGUUCUUA
rnacentral:tRNA from 1 species